rnacentral:rRNA from 1 species
AAGAACGACUCUCGGCAACGGAUAUCUCGGCUCUUGCAUCGAUGAAGAACGUAGCGAAAUGCGAUACUUGGUGUGAAUUGCAGAAUCCCGUGAACCAUCGAGUCUUUGAACGCAAGUUGUGCAGAAUCCCGUGAACCAUCGAGUCUUUGAACGCAAGUUGCGCCC